UUACUGAUGUUAUAUGAAUAAUAAUUACUAAGAUAACAAGAAUGUUUCCUUGCCUCAGAAGUCAAUUCGUGUUGAUGAGAACUGCAGCAUAAUUAUCAGAGGAUAUUACUGAGGUUAUAUGAAUAAUAAUUACUAAGAUAACAAGAAUGUUUCCUUGUCUCAGAAGUCAAUUCGUGUUGACGAGAACUUAAGAAAAAACGUCCAGUGCAGCACAUUCUUUAAUCACAAUAUACCUCGUUCCAUCUCCAAUAGGCAGCACAAUGGAGACCAUGGACCCCUCUGCCAUUCCACUUAUCUUUGGAGAUUUUAGCCCCCACCACCACUUCCCAUGUGUGUAGGAAUUUUUACUUGUGUAUCUAGGAUGGAAUUCUCCAUAAUAAACCUGAAUUAUGAAUGUGCUUGUAUAAUAUCCCCGACUGGAUUGUAAAGCAUGAACAUAAUUCUCCUUGGGAGAGAUCAGCUCUUGUUCAGCAUCCAACACAUUGAAGACCUGUGGGUUGAAUCGUUUAGAAUUGCACUGGUGUGACCAGGCACAGUGGCUCACUCCUGUAAUCCCAGCACUUUGGGAGGCUGAGGUGGGUGGAUCACAAGGUCAAGAAAUCAAGACCAUUCUGGCUAACAUGGUGAAACCCUGUCUCUAUUAAAAAUACAAAAACUUAGCGGGGCACGGUGGCGUGUGCCUGUAGUCCCAGAGACUCGGGAGGCUGAGGCAGGAGAAAGAAAAGGAACUGCACUGGUGUGAUUUCCAGUGGCAAAUCUGAACUCUCACCAUUUGUCUUCAGAAGCAAAGCCAUCUGCCUACGUGUGGCCUGAAUUCAUGCAUUGUAACAACACGCCCAUGGAGAGUGUGGUCAAGGAAGCACUUAACCCUUUCCAGAAGUACUCACUAUCCAGGCCUUGUCAUUUUCACUGGGGCUAGAGCCUACUCCUACCAUCCAGAUGAGAAGACCUCAUAAUUCAUAGGGUACUGGGUAAAGUACUCACCAGGAUCUGGUCCCACCUAAUAAAUCUUCAUGUUUGUUGAGUAUUGCACUUCAGGCUCUGUGGUUAAGCAUUUUUAUUACUACGCCAGUUAAUUCGCACAAUAACCCCAUGGGGUACAGACUAUUAAACCCAUCUUGGAAUGAAGUAAACAAAGAAUUUAUGUAACGUGUUUGAGGUCACACUGCUUGUAAGUGGUGGAGCUGGUAUCUGAACGAAGGCAAACUGUCUUCAGAACUCACGCCCUUACAUAAAAAGGCUCUACAGUAUUUUCCUGCUCUCCUCCUAUACACUUGAACUUGGGCUAAUGCAAUUUAGGCUUCAAGUCUACCCAGUGUAAGUGAAGUAAAGCAAUGAACAGUUGCCUAAUGAGCCCUUAAAAUGCAGACCACCCAUCUACAUAGCUCUUUCUUGUCCAGCCCCUUAAACAAAUGACAGCUACUGCUGUUUGAUUUGACAUUCGGAAGGACAUGUUGUCAAAAGUACCGAAAUCACUUUUUCAGCUCGGUGCUUCAUUUUCCCUUUAUGGAUGCAGACUAAGGAUCUUAAAUUUUGAGUUACCCACUAGAGCCUCUUUGCCAAACAUCUGGACCUGUUUGCAGAAUUAAAUUAUUGGCUGUCAAUCUGGGAUCAAACCUCCAGAUGGCACCAGAGAACUGAGAAAAACAAUUCCAUUUCCAAGGCGCCUUUGUGUUGCUGACGAGAGACCAGCAGGCUGAGGGGAAACGCCCUGUUUGUUACAAAGUUACAUCUGCGAGCUCCUUCAAGAAAGGGAGGUGCCUGACUCUCCUUGUUAAUGCCGGUUGCUGUUACAGACUUGCAAUUGUGCAACUCUGAUGUAAACAGGCAAGCUUUGUAUUUUUGCAGUGACCCUGGAGAGUGAGAGGGUGGUUCUCUUGGCUGUCUCUGGAACACAUUUGGCCCAGGUCUGAGGGAUUUCCCUGCCCAAGUGAUCAUGGCUGAAAUUCCCACCAUGCUGGUCCCUGGUAGUAGAGUCAACUCUACCUCUCUGUUCUCCAUCUCCACAGCUGACAAACAGGUUCCUUUUCUGUCUUUUUCCUGCUGGUACGUGAGAAAAUCUGGCAAAACUGGGAGCCAGAGAGGAGGCUAGGCCACAAAAAGCCUGUGUGCAAAAUGAUCUGUACACAGUGAAUUGACUCCACCUUUCACACAUUACCACUUAAAUCAUGAAAAGAGCAUGGCAAGGAGGAAGUAUUUUACCAGCAGAAAAAAACAUGCCUCCAACAUCAAGAAAUUCCAGCACAAUUUUGUGCAGCCAGGACCAGAAGAAGGUAAAGGCCAAGCAAUAUGUUUUAAGGACUGAAUCUUAUGUUUCCCCAAAUUCAUAUGUUGAAAUCCUAACUUCCACUGUGAAGAUAUUUGCCAGGGGCUUUAGGAGAUAAUUAGGUCAACAAGGCAGAGCCCCCCACCCCAGUGGGAUUAGCGCUCUUAGAAAAGGGAUCCAAGAGGGCUCUCUCUCUUGCCCUCUUUCCGCCAUAUGAGAAUCCAGUGAGAUGGCAUCGUCUGCAAGUCAGGAAGAGGAUGCUUACCAGAGACCAGAUCUGCCAGCACCUUGAUCUUGGACUUCUCAGCCUCUAGAACUGUAAGAAAUAACGUUUGUUGUUUAAGCAACCCAGUCUAUGGCAAUUUCUUAUAGCAGCCUGAACUAAGUCAAAUAAGAAAAAAAAUCCAAACCCAAAAUGACUUUAAGCGACUCCCAGAGGAACCCUGCCACCAUCACUAAGUUCUGAGAGAUAAAAUCAAGCAACAAGCAGAAUUAUUCUCGGGGGUCCAUAAAAAUGUCCAGGAGUGGUUUGAAAGCAACUGUCACAAAGGGGCACACAGUGGAGCCCAGAAAGUUCCACAGGCUUCUUAGGACUUGCAAAAUUUCUAUAAUUUUAUUGAUGAUAUAAGUAAUACAUGUUAAUUGUUGAGAUUUUGGAAAUUCUAUCAUCUGACCUCUCUGAUAAAACCAUUAUUAACCUAUUCGCUUUCUACUUCGUUAUUUACACACAUACACGUUUAUCCAUGUAGUGUUUUUUUAAUCAUGCUUUUGAGCUCCAUUGUAUUUACAUCAUGACCACUUUAUAGUGACAAAAAUGAUUCCAAAAUAUGAUUUUAGUGACAGCAUAAACAGCUGUACCAUAAUAUAUUUAGCCAUUUUCUAUCAUUGGAUAUUUAUAGUAUUUCUAAUUUCCCUUCACUGUCAUUAUAGUUCAUGUUUUUGAACGUAAGUCUAUUUCCACAUUUGGUUGUUUCCUUAACAAUAUUUUCGAAGCUAUAGAGUUGGUGAAAAAAACAUGUAUUAUGAAAGCUACCAAAAAUAAAAUUUCAAAUUUCCCUUUUGAUAUGGAUUCAUUUACAUUCUACUAUUGGGCUCUGAGGGUAAUCCUUUAACCACCCAUAAUAAUCUUGAUAUAUAUAUUCAAAAUCUUUGCCAAUUGACUAGACCGUUUUCUUAUAGAAAAGUUCAUUAUUGAUUAUCCAUUAAGUUGGACAUGUUUUGCAUUGCACUAGAUUGGGACAUUUGUUUUGCUGCUAUGGUGAAUUUCUGUUGCCUUUUUUUUCUUUUUAGCAAUAAGGUCUCGCUAUAUUGCUCAGGCUGGUCUCAAACUCAUGGCCUCAAGUGAUCCUCCCACCUCAGCCUCCCAGGUAGCUCAUUACAGAUUACAGCUGUGAGUCACCAUACUCAGUGAAUUUCCAAUAUCUUGUGCCAAUUUUUCCAUUAUAAGAAGAGGAGUAGGGAGGGCAGGGGUUCUUCUAUUUUCCGUUACUAUUUAUCUCUGGUUCCUCCCUUGACCUCAGACCCCAUGUUUAAGUUAUCAUCAAAUCCUAAUAACUCCACCUCAAAAAUAAAAGAUAUCACCAGAAUUGUCCCAUUCUUCGUCAUGCACGCUGAUAAGCGCAGUCACAACCAUCAACUUCCUUCCACACCAGCUCAACAACCUCCUCACCAGCCUCCUUGCCUCCAUUCCUUCACCAUGCAGUCCUCACAGAUUGAGCUUUGAAAAAUGAACAUUAUUCUUUUACUUAAACUUUCAAAUGGUCUUUUAAUCUCUUCUCAUUUUUCUCCUUAUCCACCAUGACCACUGGUCUUCUUUCUGUCUCUUUCAAAAGUGCCAAACUCUAUUCAGUCUCAACACUUUGGCGUUUGGUGUUUUCUCUACCCAGAAACUUUUCCAGAUCAUCUCAUGAGACCUCCAAGAGAGGCUUUGAGCAUCUGACCGAAUCAGUCCUUCUCCAGCACAACCCAGUCUCCUCUGUGAAGCAUGUUUCAAGUUAAAAUUAUAUACGUGUAACUGUGGUUACUUCUGAAGGGAAAGAUUGGGUGGAGAAGGGCAGAGGGAAACUUGAAUUUUUACUCUAAAAUUUUCUGUACAGUUUACAAUCUUAUACAAUUCUUUUUAUGAUAAAGCAAAUGAAACUCCUCAAAAAAAUUAUAUACGUGUGUGUGUGUAUGUGUGUGUUUGUGUGUGUGUGUGUGUGUGUGUGUGGCAUUUGUGUUUAUUUCUGUGUUUAUGGGCUCUCUUCUCUUUAGCAUAUAAACACUACAAAGGUAAAAACUGUAUAUUUUAUUUAUUUAUUUAGAGCGAGAAUGUCCCUCUGUUGCCCAGGCUGGAGUGCAGUGGUACAAUAUCGGCUCACUAUGAUCUCCACCUCCUGGGUUCAAGUGAUUCUCCUGCCUCAGACUCCCAAAUAGCUGAAACUACAGGCAUGUGCCACCAUACCUGGCUAGUUUUUUUUGUAUUUUUGGUCAAGACGGGGUUUCACCAUAUUGGCCAGGCUGGUCUCAAACUCCUGACCUCAUGAUCUACCCACCCCCAACGGCCUCCCAAAGUGCUGGGAUUACAGGCGUGAGCCACCAAGCCCAGCCAACUGUAUAUUUUAUGUUCUGGGGCACAUAAGGCAGUUCUUGACACAUAAUGCACAUUCAAUAGCUGUUAAAUAAAUGGCUGAACAAAUAUCUGUAAAGGUUAUAGUGUAACAUUUGCCUCACACUAAACGUUCAGUAAAUGGCACCUAUUAUUACUGCUGCCAUUCUGUAAGAUAUUAUUUAUCCUUUAUUGGAAAGAGAUUGGAGUCUUCCUUUUUGUCACCUUCAUCUUUCUUAUGCCCUAUCUUUCUGCCCCCAUCAGGCCUUUUAUGCAAAUAAGGAAAAAAUCCUAGCAAAAAUAGUAUCUUGGGGUGUAUUGAAAUAAAAAGCUUAUGCUGGAUGCAAUCCAUUCUGCAACCAGGAACGCUAAUCUUUAAUUGGAAUGAAAUUUGUGAGUCGCAAAUGGCCUAUAGUGGCAUUGCUUGACUCAUUUGUUUUGGGCUGACCAAAUGACAACAUGGCUUAUUGCACCUGCAACAAGCUGACGGAUUGUCCCUGCCUUCAUAUGGGUUUUGGACUUUUAUUUUACAGAUUACACAGAAAAUAUAAUUUUAGCAUCAAUUAUUCUUGGUACCUUGGAAUAGCCUUAUGGUAAACACAUAUUCACUAAUGUAAAUGAUACAUUAGGGUGUGUUUGAAUUCUUAAUAAAGACAGACUGCAAAUAAAAUUUUGAGCAAAAGGAAUUAUGUUAACAAAUGAGCAGAGCUUCAAUAACAGCAGGCUUUUGGGUUUUGUGUUUGCAAAAUCUAACAGCCAGGGAUUUGGUAUCCUCUUCUGCCUUUACCUUUUUGGUAGUAUUACACUGUGUGUGUGUAUUGGUACUAUAGAGUGCUACGGGUACCUUUUGUCCUGAGAAGGAUGCAGAUGUUUCCAGGCUGGUGGAUAGCAGGGGUGUGACUAGAAGCAGAGCGUAUACUGGUGAUUCUAAAGAAGGCAACAGAACACGUGUGAGGAAAAGGUAAAGGCACCCUGUAAUGUGACAACUAACUCCAUGGAAGUACUAGCUACUAGAAACCCCACUGGGCAGUGUUUUGUAACCCUCUGUGAUCAUAGAACUUCGUUCUCUUUUUAACAGAAAUGCACAUGUGCACCUAAAGCAAUUAUCUGAAUGAAAUUUUAGGAGAUUCAUGGGCAUAUAUACUGUAUCCGUGAACACUUCAAGAUAGGACGUUUCUUAUACUUUAGUAAACAUAAGUGGCUUCAGAAAGCAAAACAUACGACUUCUUGUGAGCUUUCAGAUAAUGAAAGACAGAAUUGAAUUGACCUUGGGAAGGAAAAAAUAAUCUAUUUCCUAUGUAGUAACUUGAAUUUUCAAUAGUAAAAUUACAUUGAAUUUUACUACCUACCCCAGUCUUUCAGGGUUUUCAAAACAGCAAAAGACAGAUCCAGUGAUUUUUCAAGAUCACUGGAAAAAAAAAAAGCGGUGUUGGAAAAAAUUAUCCAACACUUAGAAAUAAAGGACAAAUGCAUGUCCUUUUGAUGUUUGACAUUAUGUGGGGGCAUUGUUUUACAGUCCUUUCCCUAAGGAUUAUUUCACUAGUAGCAGAAUACACCUGAGUUUGACUGAUUAUUUCCACUUGAUUAAAACCCACACACUGUGAAGUUACAUGUUAUUUUGUAGAUUUCUGCCUGGUAAAAAGAUAAUUCUGUUAUUUUAUCAUCCUGUGAGAUACUAUAUAGUUUUAUAUCUGUUAGCAAAUUCAUUUCAGCAUUUUUGAACUAACUCUGUUGUUAAGGUUUAGGUAUUUGUAUUCCCACCCAAAGUCUCACCUUGAAUUAGAAUCUCUAUAAUCCCCACA